CCUACGGGGGGCAGCAGUGAGGAAUAUUGGUCAAUGGCCGUAAGGCUGAACCAGCCAAGUAGCGUGAGGGAAGACUGCCCUAUGGGUUGUAAACCUCUUUUAUGCGGGGACAAAGGUGUCCACGUGUGGAUGUUUGCAGGUACCGCAUGAAUAAGGACCGGCUAAUUCCGUGCCAGCAGCCGCGGUAAUACGGAAGGUCCGGGCGUUAUCCGGAUUUAUUGGGUUUAAAGGGAGCGUAGGCCGGUCUUUAAGCGUGCCGUGAAAUGUGGUGGCUCAACCAUGGGAGUGCGGCGCGAACUGGAGGCCUUGAGUGGGCGGAAGGCAGGCGGAAUGCGUGGUGUAGCGGUGAAAUGCUUAGAUAUCACGAAGAACCCCGAUUGCGAAGGCAGCCUGCCGCAGCGGUACUGACGCUGAAGCACGAAAGCGCGGGUAUCGAACAGGAUUAGAUACCCGUGUAGUC
rnacentral:rRNA from 1 species